rnacentral:rRNA from 1 species
UACGGGGGGGGGCAAGCGUUGUUCGGAUUUACUGGGCAUAAAGGGCGCGCAGGCGGCCAUUCAAGUCAGGCGUGAAAGCCCCCGGGCUUAACCUGGGAGGUGCGUCUGGGACUGGGUGGCUAGAGAUCGGGAGAGGAGAGUGGAAUUCCCAGUGUAGAGGUGAAAUUCGUAGAUAUUGGGAAGAACACCGGUGGCGAAGGCGGCUCUCUGGACAGUGACUGACGCUGAGACGCGAAAGCGUGGGGAGCAAACAGG